ACACAUGCAAGUCGAGCGGUAACAGGUGUAGCAAUACAUGCUGACGAGCGGCGAACGGGUGAGUAAUGCUUCGGAAUCUGCCCAAUGGUGGGGAAUAACCAGCCGAAAGGUUGGCUAAUACCGCAUACGCCCUACGGGGGAAAGCAGGGGAUCGUAAGACCUUGCGCCGAUGGAUGAGCCGAAGCCGGAUUAGCUAGUUGGUAGGGUAACGGCCUACCAAGGCGACGAUCCGUAGCUGGUCUGAGAGGACGACCAGCCACACUGGGACUGAGACACGGCCCAGACUCCUACGGGAGGCAGCAGUGGGGAAUAUUGGACAAUGGGGGAAACCCUGAUCCAGCGACGCCGCGUGUGUGAAGAAGGCCUGCGGGUUGUAAAGCACUUUUAGUGGGGAUGAAAAGCUCAGGGCUAAUACCUCUGGGUCUUGACCUAACCCACAGAAAAAGCACCGGCUAACUCUGUGCCAGCAGCCGCGGUAAUACAGAGGGUGCAAGCGUUAAUCGGAAUUACUGGGCGUAUAGCGUGCGUAUACGGUUACGUAAGUCGGGUGUGAAAGCCCC
rnacentral:rRNA from 1 species